rnacentral:misc_RNA from 1 species
AUCAAUUACCCUGGAAGCUUUAUAGUAUGCAGCUGUGGCUUUUUGGUUUGCUUGUUCUUUCGGCUGAGAGCAAAUCUGCAAAAUUUCAAGUGCAUGGUUUAUUCAUAGAUCAUGCACUGCCUAAAGACAGGUUUUUUCGAGCCACAAAUUGUUGUGAAGAAUGGGUAGGUAAUUCUGUCUCAGGUUUAUUUUUAUUUCCAUAUUGCUAUUAAUCUCUCUUGGUAUCAUUCUUCUAUUAUGUGUGUUCUCGAGGUUUCUGAUAAACGCAUCUAUAUUCAUGUGCCUUUGCGCUCAUUUUCUUAAUCAUAUUUAAUGAUCUGUAAUUGCUUCGCUUGCUAAUAAAUAAGAGAAACUUGGUGACAAUUCCUCAACAGUUUAAAACAGUAUAGCUAUAAUAGAGUGAUAAAUUUUGAGAUAAUGGUAUCAGUUUUGAUGUUCACAUGCUAGAUGUAUUUCCAAAUUAACAGAAAGCUAAAGUGAGAAUCGCUGAGAGAUUCUAAAUUACUGAAAUCACCUUUCUAGGGGUUGUGGCUUUAGCCAAAAUUGCAGUGGAAAUAGCUUUGGCUAAUAUGAAAGAGACAAAUUUUUAUGUUUUGUCAUCUUGGCACAACAAAUUUGACAAUUUUAUUUCGGAUUAUUUGUGUUGUCAGUAAGCUCCUUGGGACUAAAUACAGGCUUCUACUCUGGAAAAAUAAGCUUUCAUCAAAUAUUAGUUUAAAUUUUCUGACCAUUGGUAUUUAUUUUUCUUACAUUUUCUUACAUUUUGCCUUUAGAACAAGGAUAACCAUCUGGAGAACUUGUAUGAAUAUCACCAUAAUCUCGACAGUGUGAACGCUGGAGUCUGUAACAGGAAUUAAACUAGUAUACUGUCUCUUUUGCCCCAAAUUUUUGGGAUG